rnacentral:rRNA from 1 species
AUACGGAGGGUGCAAGCGUUAAUCGGAAUUACUGGGCGUAAAGCGCGCGUAGGCGGAUAUUUAAGUCUCAUGUGAAAGCCCUGGGCUCAACCUGGGAACUGCAUGGGAUACUGGGUAUCUAGAAUACAGUAGAGGGUAGUGGAAUUUCAGGUGUAGCGGUGAAAUGCGUAGAGAUCUGAAGGAACAUCAGUGGCGAAGGCGACUACCUGGACUGAUAUUGACGCUGAGGUGCGAAAGCGUGGGGAGCAAACGGGAUUAGAAACCCGAGUAGUCC